rnacentral:rRNA from 1 species
GAUGAACGCUAGCUACAGGCUUAACACAUGCAAGUCGAGGGGCAGCGCAGUGUAGCAAUACAUGGGCGGCGACCGGCGCACGGGUGCGUAACGCGUAUCCAACCUUCCCGUUACUCAGGGAUAGCCUUCCGAAAGGGAGAUUAAUACCUGAUGGUGUUCAAAUUCCGCAUGUUAUUUGAACUAAAGAUUUAUCGGUAACGGAUGGGGAUGCGUGACAUUAGAUAGUAGGCGGGGUAACGGCCCACCUAGUCUACGAUGUCUAGGGGUUCUGAGAGGAAGGUCCCCCACACUGGAACUGAGACACGGUCCAGACUCCUACGGGAGGCAGCAGUGAGGAAUAUUGGUCAAUGGACGAAAGGUCUGACCAGCCAAGUAGCGUGAAGGAUGACUGCCCUAUGGGUUGUAAACUUCUUUUGUCGUUGGAACAAAACCUGCCACGUGUGGCAGUUUGCGUGUACACGUUGAAUAAGCAUCGGCUAACUCCGUG